UACGUAGGAUGCGAGCGUUAUCCGGAUUUAUUGGGUUUAAAGGGUGCGCAGGCGGCGUGUCAAGUCAGCGGUAAAAUGUCGGGGCUCAACCCCGGCCGGCCGUUGAAACUGGCGUGCUCGAGUUGGAGAGAAGUACGCGGAAUUCGUGGUGUAGCGGUGAAAUGCAUAGAUAUCACGAAGAACCCCGAUUGCGAAGGCAGCAUACCGGCUCCACACUGACGCUGAGGCACGAAAGCGUGGGUAUCGAACAGG
rnacentral:rRNA from 1 species